rnacentral:tRNA from 1 species
GGUGGCUCAGUGGUAGAGAACUUGCUUUGCAUGCAUGAGGUCCUGGGUUCGAUUCCUCAGCACCA